rnacentral:lncRNA from 1 species
GCCAGACAGGUGCCUUCCCGUCAGGAAAGCACCACAAGAAGAAGGUCAACAGUCAGCCUUCAGUUUAUCUAAGGAAUUAUCAAUUUUGGUCAAAGUCUUUUUGAUUCGCAGGGCUGUUAGUCUCGCUGAUGGAUUCUGAUACCAGCAUUCUUUCAUCAACUUGGCAAGAGAUGUUAAUGUAGGGUCUGAGAACCACCUGUUGGGAAUGUUUGGCCUUUGCUGAUCUACACAGACCACUUUCCUCAUGUCUUCAAAACUGGGAUCAUUUGGAACCAGGUCAUAAAAUGGUGGUUUAUAGUCUUCUACAAUACCAUUGCUAACCAUGCGCCUAGCUACCUCCCACAGGACCAG